UCCCGUCGCCCGUCCCCCACCACGCCUACUUCUCGCCACCUGCCUCGAUUUCUUGCCUGCCCUGCCCGAGGCCGAAAUUGUUAAUGAUCACGACAGAUUCGUAACAAAAAGAAGACCAGAACAAAAACUGAGUUGGGCAGUCAAACCUUUCACAAUGAACCAAGGUCUUGUUUUAUUCCUUUACUCUUGAAGAUCCUUUGCAUUUGGAUUUGAGUAGCUUCACAAAUUAAUUAAGAAAAAGAAGAUUAGAAAAGGUACACAAAUCAAGGAACGAGCAUAAGACUUCCCUAAGAAAUUUCACACAUUUAAAAUGAUCUGGGAAAUUGGAAGGAUUGUAAUCUAUGUUGAGCAAUCAAACUCAAAAAAAUCAUCAAAAAUCUUUGCUGAUUGUGUUAGGUAAGGGAUCAAUGAAUUAAAACAGAGCUAACCACCCCUAUGCCUCUUUCAGAUUCAAGCUUUGCAGAUUAAAAAAAUCUGAUGCUAUUAAUGUGGACAUCAAGAAUGGGAAAAGUAGUACUCUCAGAUAGCAAUCUAAAGUAUAAUGAUAAAAAGGUUUUGGGUGGAUUGCAGGCCAAUCAGCAAUUGCAUCAAUGAGUUGUUGAAAUUUUUUUGGGGAGGAAAUUUUGAAGUAAAGCAAAAUUCCAAAUAGUAAUAACAAGAGAGAGUUCACAAUUUAUUCAAUCAAAUUGAUCAAUCAACAAGGCCCCCACAACCCUAAGUCAGAGGUUAUAUGCACAAAUUUUCAGACUGGGGAACAAGGAACAAUAGUUAAAACAUUAAGAUACAAGAGAUUUUCCAUUCAGCGAUCUCGGUGGUAAACACCCUUGCUGUGGCAGUGAGAAACUGCAAUCUUGAAGUAAAACAAAAUUCUCUAUUUCAAGCUAAAUGAUUGACUCAACAUGCAAGGCCAGAUUUCUUUUUUUAAUUCUUGUUUGCAUACACUAAAGAGCAAAAGAGACCUAAACAAACCCCAAAAUAUCAACUUUACCUGAAAAUCUAGCCAAACCAUAGUUGUCUAAAUAUGUUGUACAGAUGCAUGUCUAGAUUGAUUUAGGUUAUUUAGGAAUUUCUGUUUUUACUGGAAAUUACUCCCAAAAGAAGUUCUGCUUGUAGCGACAUAAUUUGAGCUGCUUGAGGCUGCUGGAUUUUGUAACUACUGUAUUCGGAAUGAAAUCGUACUUACUGAUGGCAGAAUAUCUACUUUCACUGCUCUUCUUUUGUUCGGACAUCUUGUAUUUGGCUGUUCAUAUUCCGAAACAAGUUUUUGGAAGACCUUUUAGUUGUGUGUCUGCUUAUAUAUCACUCAUUCAAUCAAUCAAUACAUUCUAGCCAAACCAUGCUAGAAAUUAAGGUUUGACUGUGGCACUUCAUCUCUUAUGUUACAACAAUAACAUACGUAACUUCACAAUUAGGAUGUGGGAAACACAAACCUUAUUCUACUACACAUGGAUUGUUUUGGAGGUCUUCAAAGCAGGGUUUCAAGAAACCAUUAUGACAUAAAAAUCAGAUAAUGUAACAAACAGAUUGAAGAAUAAAAUUGCCUUUUAUAUGUGAGAAUAUCUACUAACUCUCUAUUAUGAUUCUUGGCUUCAUAUCUUCUUAUCUAAGCUUACAUUAAUCACUUGUCCGAAAUUCUUUUUUAAUCACUGUCAACCGUAACCUAUACUUGCAGCUACUGUUCAAGUUUUUGAUUCCCUACAAAAAUUUCACUCCCUAAUUAAGAGAUCAAGAUAGAAAAUUAUCUUCACAACAAACUUUUCUAUCAGCCAUAUCGGUGGUAAACACCCUCUAGCAAUUGCAAGUUAUAUGAUCCAUAAACUGAUACAGCUAAUUCCCAAUUCUUACCAGUUGAUUUCAUGUAAAUUAUGCAAAGAACCCAUCAAUGAACUAAACCCCCAAACCCUAAGUCAGAGGAAAAAGUACCUGUGUCCUCCGGACGAAAUUCAAGAAGCAUACCAAUGUAUCUCCUCAUUUUCCUCGAUCACAACCACUUGUUUCGCAGCAAUUUCACUCCUCACCACCUUCAUCUUCGCCAUUAUUGUCUGCUGCAUACACACACAAACACUUAUUAUUUUUUAUCCAAAAAGAAGUAAAAUUGAAUGGGGAAUUGGGAAAUUCAUUGAGAGGGGAAUUGGGAACAUCACCAUUCUGAUGGCGUUGUGGUGCACAAGAGAGAAAUUCAGCCAUGAAAACAGUUCACCCUUCAACUUUGUCAUUUGUAACUGAAAUACCCUCGUUAUAAAAAUGGCUCAUAUAUGUCCUUAUCGUUAUACAAACGGC
rnacentral:lncRNA from 1 species